rnacentral:rRNA from 1 species
UACGGGGGGGGGCAAGCGUUGUUCGGAAUUACUGGGCGUAAAGCGCGCGUAGGCGGCUUUUCAAGUCAGACGUGAAAGCCCCAGGCUUAACCUGGGAAUUGCGUUUGAUACUGUUAGGCUAGAGUGUGGAAGGGGCUACUGGAAUUCCGUGUGUAGCGGUGAAAAUGCGUAGAUAUACGGAGGAACACCAGCGGCGAAGGCGGGUAGCUGGGCCAACACUGACGCUGAUGCGCGAAAAGCUAGGGUAGCAAACGGG